rnacentral:lncRNA from 1 species
AAAAAAGCCUGAACUUAUACCUCCAAGAAAAUGUAAGGAGAAAACAAAACGUAAAACAAUCUUGUUUGAAAAUAGUCAUCACAGCGUCAGUAACUCUACAGAUGAGUUAAACCGUUGGAGACCCUCCCUUCCUUAUGGGAAAAAUGAAAAAUGGACAUAGAUUCCUCAUUAAAACAAUGUACACAAAGAAUUAAAAUUCAAUUUGAAAUAAUACAAGCAAAAUCCCCGACUUUGGAGAAAGAAAAAAUACCACCACAAAAAGAGGAUGAAGGAGAAUUGAAUGCUGAUACUCUUGAUGACGUCACUCAAUCACAUGAAACAGAUCCAGAGAAUUAUUAUUUAUCUCCCUCAAAUUAUACCCAAGAGAAAUCUCAAGAAGAGGAUGACCAGAAACUCCAGUGUCUUAAAGAGAGGGGAGAUUCUAUACAAAAGCUUCAAAUGGAAAGAGGCACAUUAGAAGAUUCAGUAGACCAGGAAAUGGAGAAAACUGAAAAAUUUCCCAAACCUUUUUUGAAAUUUCUUCUUGUAAGUCCUCUCCAGGAUCUAUUUUUUCUCAUUUGAAAAAUACUUUCUUUAAGUGG